UACGGAGGGUGCAAGCGUUAAUCGGAAUUACUGGGCGUAAAGGGUGCGUAGGUUGUUAGUUAAGUUAUCUGUAAAGUCCCCGGGCUUAACCUGGGUAGGCCAGAUAAGACUGAUUGACUCGAGUAUGGGAGAGGGUAGUGGAAUUUCCGGUGUAGCGGUGAAAUGCGUAGAGAUCGGAAGGAACACCAGUGGCGAAGGCGGCUACCUGGCCUAAUACUGACACUGAGGCACGAAAGCGUGGGGAGCAAACAGG
rnacentral:rRNA from 1 species